rnacentral:rRNA from 1 species
CAGUGUGAUUCGUCACACUAUCAUUAACUGAAUCCAUAGGUUAAUGAGGCGAACCGGGGGAACUGAAACAUCUAAGUACCCCGAGGAAAAGAAAUCAACCGAGAUUCCCCCAGUAGCGGCGAGCGAACGGGGAGGAGCCCAGAGCCUGAAUCAGUGUGUGUGUUAGUGGAAGCGUCUGGAAAGGCGCGCGAUACAGGGUGACAGCCCCGUACACAAAAAUGCACAUGCUGUGAGCUCGAUGAGUAGGGCGGGACACGUGGUAUCCUGUCUGAAUAUGGGGGGACCAUCCUCCAAGGCUAAAUACUCCUGACUGACCGAUAGUGAACCAGUACCGUGAGGGAAAGGCGAAAAGAACCCCGGCGAGGGGAGUGAAAAAGAACCUGAAACCGUGUACGUACAAGCAGUGGGAGCACAGAGCAAUCUGUGUGACUGCGUACCUUUUGUAUAAUGGGUCAGCGACUUAUAUUCUGUAGCAAGGUUAACCGAAUAGGGGAGCCGAAGGGAAACCGAGUCUUAACUGGGCGUUAAGUUGCAGGGUAUAGACCCGAAACCCGGUGAUCUAGCCAUGGGCAGGUUGAAGGUUGGGUAACACUAACUGGAGGACCGAACCGACUAAUGUUGAAAAAUUAGCGGAUGACUUGUGGCUGGGGGUGAAAGGCCAAUCAAACCGGGAGAUAGCUGGUUCUCCCCGAAAGCUAUUUAGGUAGCGCCUCGUGAAUUCAUCUCCGGGGGUAGAGCACUGUUUCGGCAAGGGGGUCAUCCCGACUUACCAACCCGAUGCAAACUGCGAAUACCGGAGAAUGUUAUCACGGGAGACAC